rnacentral:rRNA from 1 species
GACGAACGCUGGCGGCGUGCUUAACACAUGCAAGUCGAACGGAAAGGCCCCUUUGUUGUUACUCGCGUGGGGGCCGGGCGGGUGAGAAUCACGUGAGCUGCCUUUGCCUUAGGGCGGGAUUCCGGAAACUGGGGCUAAUUCCUACCGGGCAUGCUUGCUUCAUGCAUGGGGUUGGAAAGCUUGUGUCGGCGGUGUUGGACUGACGGGCGGUCUAUCAGCUUGUUGGUGGGGUAGUGGCGUACCAUGGCUUUGACGGGUAGCCGGCCUGAGAGGGCGACCGGCCACAUUGGGACUGAGAUACGGCCCAGACUCCUACGGGAGGCAGCAGUGGGGAAUAUUGCACAAUGGGCGGAAGCCUGAUGCAGCAACGCCGCGUGCGGGAUGACGGCCUUCGGGUUGUAAACCGCUUUCGGCUGGGACGAAGCUUGAGUGACGGUAACUGCAGAAGAAGCACCGGCUAACUACGUG